UUACGCUUGUCCCCAAUUCUAAAACAACUAAUUUAAAUUGCAAUUAGUUGCGCAACAAUUCAAUUGAGGCGUGUAUUGAGCUGCAAAUAAUCGUGGGUGCAUUUAUCGCAACAUCAAGUGUUGUCCUCCGGCUGUGUUUCGUCUGUGUCCCAUUCAGACUUGGUGAAAAAGUUUGAGGUUACAAUAUUUGACCACGGCAGCAAGAAGCCACACGACGUGUUAAUGCCUCCCGCAAGCAAUAAAUUACCCAUUCAAAUAAAUAUAAAACAUUUCUAAUACGAGUGUAGCAGACACUAAAAAGAGCCUGCAACCAAAACGAAAAUCCAAAAAUCAAUUGCAUUUGUGUCUGUGUUUGUGCGUGUGAGUGCAAGUCCAAGUGUGUGCGUGAAAUUCCAUACUCUCGUACUCGAAAGACAACGAAAAAGUCUCAAAGUUAUACUCAAAUGUGUAUGGCAAUUGUGUUGGUUAGACCUGUUCCCACAUCUAUGGAGUUUCAUCUAGACAGUGCAGAAUACUGCCAGGCACAGCACAAAUAAAAAGUAAUCAAGAAGCAAAGAAGGCCGCGAUAGCCUGAGACAACGCGCUGUCAUCCUCUGCCCGGAAGUCAACGGACGCCAAAACUGAUUCGAAGCGUGGAGCGCGGCAGAGUUCAAGACAGAAAGACACUGUUCAACAGAGCGGGAGAGACAG